UCCCUUGUGGCUCAGGUGGUAGAGCAUCUGCCUGCAAUAUGGGAGAUCCAGGUUCGAUUCCUGUUUUGGGAA
rnacentral:tRNA from 1 species